rnacentral:tRNA from 1 species
GCGAAAGUGGCGGAACUGGUAGACGCGCUGGAUUUAGGAUCCAGUGCCCUCGGGCGUGGGGGUUCGAAUCCCCCCUUUCGCA